AUUGAACGCUGGCGGCAUGCCUUACACAUGCAAGUCGAACGGCAGCACGGGAGCAAUCCUGGUGGCGAGUGGCGAACGGGUGAGUAAUAUAUCGGAACGUGCCCAGUCGUGGGGGAUAACGUAGCGAAAGCUACGCUAAUACCGCAUACGAUCUACGGAUGAAAGCGGGGGAUCGCAAGACCUCGCGCGAUUGGAGCGGCCGAUAUCAGAUUAGGUAGUUGGUGAGGUAAAGGCUCACCAAGCCGACGAUCUGUAGCUGGUCUGAGAGGACGACCAGCCACACUGGGACUGAGACACGGCCCAGACUCCUACGGGAGGCAGCAGUGGGAAUUUUGGACAAUGGGCGCAAGCCUGAUCCAGCAAUGCCGCGUGCAGGAUGAAGG
rnacentral:rRNA from 1 species